AACGAACGCUGGCGGCAAGCUUAACACAUGCAAGUCGAACGGACCGUAUACGCAGCUUGCUGCGUGUAUGGUUAGUGGCAGACGGGUGAGUAAUGCAUAGGAAUCUACCUAGUAGUAUGGGAUAGCCACUAGAAAUGGUGGGUAAUACUGUAUAAUCCCUGCGGGGGAAAGAUUUAUCGCUAUUAGAUGAGCCUAUGUCAGAUUAGCUAGUUGGUGGGGUAAUGGCCUACCAAGGCGGUGAUCUGUAGCUGGUCUGAUAGGAUGAUCAGCCACACUGGAACUGAGACACCGUCCAGACUCCUACUGGAGGCAGCAGUGGGGAAUAUUGGACAAUGGGCGCAAGCCUGAUCCAGCUAUGCCGCGUGAGUGAGGAAGGCCUUAGGGUUGUAAAACUCUUUCAGUAGGGAAGAUAAUGACGGUACCUACAGAAGAAGUCC
rnacentral:rRNA from 1 species